UACGUAGGUGGCAAGCGUUGUUCGGAAUUACUGGGCGUAAAGCGCGUGUAGGCGGCUCUUCAAGUCAGACGUGAAAGCCCCGGGCUUAACUCGGGAACUGCGUUUGAUACUGUCGAGCUAGAGUGUGGAAGGGGCGAUUGGAAUUCCGUGUGUAGCGGUGAAAUGCGUAGAUAUACGGAGGAACACCAGUGGCGAAAGCGGCUUCCUGGUCCAGCACCGACGUUCAGGCACGAAAGCGUGGGGAGCAAACAGG
rnacentral:rRNA from 1 species